CCCUUAGAUGUUCUGGGCCGCACGCGCGCUACAAUGAUGAAUUCAACGAGUUUAUAACCUUGGUUGAAAAGCCUGGGUAAUCUUUUGAACUUUCGUCGUGAUGGGGCUAGACCCUUGCAAUUAUUAAUCUUCAACGAGGAAUGCCUAGUAGGCGCAAGUCAUCAGCUUGCGUCGAUUACGUCCCUGCCCUUUGUACACACCGCCCGUCGCUCCUACCGAUUGGGUGUGCUGGUGAAAUGUUCGGAUCGGCCGUUUGUCGCGGUUUCCGCGUCAUGUGGCUGAGAAGUUCAUUAAACCCUCCCACCUAGAGGAAGGAGAAGUCGUAACA
rnacentral:rRNA from 1 species